UAUAUGGCUUAAAAGUUCUGUAUUAUUUGUACUAUAAUACUUGGCUUUUAGAUUUACCUUGGUUUAUGGUCAGUGUCACAGAAGUGCGGUUUAAUGUAUUAUGCGUACAUGUGUAAGGCAUGAUUGGUCUAAUUGAUGAUGAAACCUAUCCCGAAGCUGAUGACCUGAAGAAAAAUAUGUACGGAUUCGGCUUCUGAGAUUUAAGACCAAUAUUCAGAGGUGGAGUAAAUUUUGUUGCCAUGAUUUUGUAACAGCUCUGUUCACAACAGCUCAAAAUCUUGGGGGUUUGUUUUUUCUGCCAACAGUGAGGGUCGCUGUCUGCCCAUUGAUAGAGCCCAGAAGUUCCAAAGUUGCAACGAUUUCUGGCUAGUACCACGAGGUUUGCUUGACUGUGGUAUGAAAAGCUGAUAAGAAAACCAUCCAGAAAGAAGCUCUUCAUUUUACAAACAUGAAAAUAAAAAUGUAAUUUUGGA